ensembl:lncRNA
GGGAAAUUCCACUUCUGCCAUGUGUACGCAAUGGUUUUGAUAACAGUAAAUGGACAUUAACCUUGCCAUAAACAUGUUAUCUGAGUAGCUUAGAGGAACCUUCAUAUGCCAGUCAUACUCUUUGUAUGUCUUGCUUAGUAGCUACUUCACAUGUUCACUUGUAUCUAGAGAUGUAUGGAUGAUCGCACCGGUUUCAAAUCACAGCAUUCUCCCACUACAGAAAUUCAUGAGCUUAGCAGCAUGGGAUAAAGUACACUGAGUCAGCAGCGGUGAAAGUAUUUAAGGGCUGGGUGCAUCAGACAAACUUACAGAUGAACUUCCUGAAAUAAGAGAGAAGACUCCUACUAUCCCCUAAGAGAUUCUGAGUUAAGAUGAAACCCCAAGUUAUAAUCUUUAUUUACUUAGGAGGACUCAUAUUACACUUCGUGAAAUGUUACAGCAGUGGCAAUUUUGACGCUUAUCCAGCUAUAUGUCAGACAAUGGAAGUUGUUCACAGCACCUAUCUACCUCAGAACACUGAACCACCUUUUAAAGUUAUCCCAGAUAUGAUCAGAGUUAAUUCUUCAGAUGUGGGAAAAUCCUUUAAUGGUGGGUGUCUUUUUCUUUCUUUUACUGCCAAUUAAUGGUUCUUAGCUUUAAGGCCUAUCCUGGCAUUUCAAGGUUUACCAAAUAUAUAUAUUGUUUUCAUUACUCCUCCUAAAAGUUUGGUACCAUUAUCCUUAAACUUAAAAUAAUUGCAACUAUGUGUCACAAAAGCUAUGAAAAGGACAUUGAUAUUUAUAACUGUUUGCAAAUGACACCCUAACAAAGUGCUGAUGGAAAGUCAGCCUAUAUCACAGCAAAUGUGGUAGCUAGGUAGAUUUAAGACCACACCUUAAAAUUCAACAAUAUUUGCUGUGUCAUUACACUGCUGUGUGAACUAAUAUUCUCAUAACAUCUCCCUCCCAAAAAGAAAAUGUCCAUCACAGAAUCACCAAGUGAAACUAAAUGAAAAGGAUGAAUUCAUAACUUCCAAAUCCAUCACAAAGUCACCCUUUCAUCACCACUUGCGACUUUAUUGCUUUUUGAAAUCAGUCUGGCAUUUAUCCUAGCUGUGAGACAUUUCUACGUUCAUAUUUCCAUCAUAUUAAUCAACAUGUGUCCUCAUGUGCAAGGUUUCAGUGGAUAAUAACAACUAAAUAGACAUAUACAAGUAUAGUACAGAAUUAAAGAACACAUUGUAUGGCCAUCACACCCAAUUACAAAAUUGUUUCAGUAUACUGCAUAUGUGACAUGAAAGGAAAAACACUUAAAGCUGCAUUUUGUGCAUGAUAAUUGGGAACAUAAACAAAGAUAAUGACUUGUGUGACCUGUGCAGUACCAGAACCACACAUUAGAACAUCAUCUCUUAUCUUAUAUAUUUUUUAAAACCAAUUAUCUUAUUUUUAUCUAAAGUAACACUGAAAGCUGAUGGCUAUGAAUCAUUCCGUGGUUUUUUGUUGAAAGCACAAAAACCAGACAAAACAACACCUCAGGGGAUUUUUUCUUUGGUGGAUACAAGCUUAAGCAGACUUCAGACAUGUAAUGGUAUGAAGGAUACAGCUGUAACGCAAACAAAUAACCGAAAAAAGGCUGAAAUAAUGGUCAAAUGGAAUGUUUCUGAAACCGGAGAUUAUUUUUUCAGGGCUACAUUCGUUAAGACAUAUGAAAUAUUCUGGAUCAUAAGAAAUCUCUUCUUCAAUCACGACACCAUCCUUUACAACAGACCUUGUAACAUCAGACCCUGUAACAUCAGACCUUGUAACACCAGGCCCAGUAACACCAGAUCCUGUAACACCAGACCCUGUAACACCAGGCCCAGUAACACCAGACCCUGUAACACCAGACCCUGUAACAACAACCACCAUAACAAUAUCAACAUCAGCAAAAUUAUCCUCAGUCACCAAAACUGAUCCACCGCACAAAUAUUUGGUUGAAUCAUCGCUAACUCUACAUUUGCUCAGUUAUCUUUGUCUUGCUGUGUGUGGUCCUUUCCUAGCGAAAGCCUGUGUAUGUGUUUGGACAAAGGUGACAUCAUUUCUGUCUUUGGCAUUUUCAUUGGCUGCUUUCAUCCUCUUACUGAUAGACAACAAACAAGUUGAGGCUGAAAUUCUGGCAGGAGUAGCAGCAGGCCUCAACUUGUGUCAAACCAUUCUAAUAUUCUUUCUCUGUGGACCGUGCCAUGAAUUAAGAAAGAUUUUCUACUGGGGGCUCAGAUUGGUUGCAUUCAUAAACGUUUGUUUUACAAUUGCUACAAUAUAUGUUGGUCUUGUGGAGCACUGCUCCAAACCACGCCGCUUCUGGCCCGUCAUAUUGAUGGGAGUUUAUUUAGCAUGCCAAUUGCUGUCAUGUCCCUUUUUUAUAUAUGGGGAACUAAAAGAAAAGCAGCAACGACAAACUACAUCAAGCAAUCAGAAUUGCAGGGUUUCUUGCUGGUGUACGUGUUUGGUCAUUUUUACUGGGAUGAAUUUAGCAUUUACUGUAGCACUGGUAUUAGGAAUAUUUUUAUCAUUGUAUGUUUGAUACCUAAAGAAACAAAAGCCUUGAUAUUUUCAUUAUGUGAUGAUGUUUUACUUAUAUUUAACUUUUCUACAUCAAUAAUUUCAAGCAGUCCAUGUAAUAUGUAUAUACUGUAUGUUGGCUUUCUGAUAUUUGGUUCUGAAUGUUUCUUUUCACUACGUAUAUCAUAUAUUCCUGUAACCAAUGCUUAUGAUCAAUGUAGAAUUUGUAUUUGUAGAGAAAUGUCUAUAUUUAUUGUGAAAAGAGGAAACCUACAAUCCCCUCUGAAAUUAUUGAAAUGGCAAAGCCAAUUUUAUACACUGAAGAUAAUUUUAUACACCAAUAUAAUUUCCUGAUAUGUACAUCUAGAUGUGUUAAACAAUUUAAGCACCUUCAAUAUUGGAACAUGUGACUGAUAGGAGUUUCUUCUUGCCCAUAUGUGUCCUGUUAAAUUGAUUGUUAAAACAGUUAAUAGCUCUUAAUGUCUACUCUUGGUUUGAUCCCUGGGUUUUUCCUGUGAAGACCGCAUUUGUUGUUAAAAAGUAUAAACCAACAUGAAGACAAGAAAGCUGUCUAUGGGAGAAAAGAAAGCCAUUUUGAAACUGUGAAAAGAGGAAAAAAUCUAUCAGAGCCAUUUCAGAAGCAUUGGGUAUAGCCAAUAUAGCAAUUUGGAGUGUCCUGAAAAUGAAAAAAAUAUCCCUGAUGUACAGUGUAACAACCAGAGAUCAAACAGUUUGCCAAGGAAAACAGCAGCAGUUGUUGACAGAAUAAUUGUGAGAGCUGUAAAGAAGAACCCCAAAACAGCAGUCAGUGACAUCACAAACAACCUCCACAGGGCAGAAGUGACGGUAGCACAAUCCACCGUUUGAAGAAGACUUUGAGAGCAGAAAUAUAGAGGCCAUACCAGAAGAUGCAAACCACUCAUCAGCAGUAAGAAUCGGAAAGCCAGAUUGGAAUUUGCAAAGAAAUACAGAGAUGAGUCACAAAUGUUAACCUCAACCAAAGUGAUGGAAAGGCCAAAGUAUGGAGAAAGAAAGGUUCUGCUCAUGCUCCAAAACAUACAAGCUCAUCUGUCAAACAUGGCGGAGGUAGUGUCAUGGCUUGGGCUUGCAUGGCUGCUUCUGGUACAGACCCACUAAUAUUUAUUGAUGAUGUAACUCAUGAUGGAAGCAGCAGAAUGAAUUCAGAAGUUUACAGGAACAUUUUGUCUGCCAAUUUGUAGAGCAAUGCAUCCAAUCUAAUUUGGAGGAACUUCAUCAGGCAGUGACAAUGACCCAAAACACACUGCCAACUCCACAAAGUACUUUAUCAAGGGGAAAAAGUGAAAGGUUUUAUACUGGACAACUCAAUCACCAGAACAUAACCCAAUUGAGCAUACAUUUGACCUCCUGAAGAGGACACUGAAAGGAGAAACCCCCCCAAAACAAAUAACAACUGAAAGAAGCUGGGGUAAAAGCCUGGAAAAGCAUCACACAAGAAGAAUGCAACAGUUUGGUGAUGUCAGUGGGUCGCCAACUUGAUGCAGUUAAUGCAAGCAAGGGAUAUGCAACCAAAUAUUAAGUAUUAUUUACUUUACUUUAAAUAUGUUUGAAUUGAUCUGUUCCAAUACUGUAGCUCACUUAAAAAAUGGGUGGCCUGCAAUCAAAGGUGGCAUUUUCUAUGUUGUUUAGCACAUCUAUUUGUAAAUAUUAUGACAUACAACCUGAAAUUCUGAUCUAUUGUCUCAUAUUCAUCUGCUGAUCUCAAACCCAAAUGCCUUUAGUGUAUAGAUUGGCCUUGCCUUUCCAAUACUUUUGGAGGGGACUGUAAAUCCCUUAGCAUUCACAACCAUUUGUCCAGUAAACUGGAGAGGCUUCACCAAUUUUUAAUUGUGUUGGUGUCAUUAGGGAAGUUUAAACAGAUAACAGCAAACACUCCUGACAUCUAAUUUAUGAGGAUGGCCUUAAAUAAUAUUUGACAUGAGCCUUUCUUUUAAAAACUCUUAUCAACAAAGCGUGAUAACAUUUUAUUGAUCCUGACCAAAUUACACUGUUCUCUGCACUCAGUCAUGUUGAUGCAUGAUAUUUACAGUUCACUUCACUCUCAGCAAAUGUACAAUAGUGCACUUCAGAUAACUUGUACAGAGCAUACAUUAGUCAUUGGGUGUGACCAUAUUCCUGAUUCCCAUUCCUCUCAUGUGAUAUUUCUCUUUCAGCUGGGAUGAUAUUAGUUUGUUCUGCAAUAAUGUCACACUGCAUAAUUUUAUUGUGCAGGACAUAAAAAUGUAUUUCUUCAAUACACUGGUUUCAAAAUGAUCAGCAGCCCUACAAUUAAUAUAUUGUGAUCACUGCCCUGUCUUCCUGUAAUGUUUAACAAGGUUUGAGAAACUUGUAGAAGGAAUCUUUAUUCAGCUUUAUUUUAAGCUUCUUUACAGUUUUUUUCAUGUGGAAUUUCCUCUUCAAGUCAGACCACAGUAUUUCAAUAGAUUUUACAUCUGGAGACUGAGAUGAUUUUGUUUCUUUAAAAAUUUACAUUGAUUUGAAAGAAUACUUGUUCAUCGUUUUUGUGAAAGUGGCCACGUCACCUCUAUCUAUAGCCUAGUCUAGACUUCCUGGCAGAGGUAACAAGGUUUUGGGCUGAAAUACCAUAGUAGUACUCAUGAUGGCAAGCAACAGUCUUCACAAGAGCCCCUGAACCACCAACCACAAAAAAACCACAAGACUUCAGUCAUCCACCGCCAUAUUUUACACUGGGAUAUCAGGUGCUUCUUCUUGUAUGCUAUCCCCUUUAGUCUCCAAACACGCUGAUAAUGUUUAUGACCAAAAUGUUUAAUGAGAUGUAUAUUAAUAAUUUUGGCACAUAUUUGUGAGAGAACAUGCUAUUGUUAAUAAAACUAACUCAACUGAGUUUUUUUUCUUUUUAUUUGAAUUAUUGUGUAAUGGGCACUGCACUGCAUAAACGAUGUAUCUUAUCUUAUGUCUUUCGGAAGUAAUUGGUAUUACGGGUCCUUUGGUUAAAUUUUUAACAUCCAGAUCCAGUAGAUUUUUAGCAAUCAUUGUACAACUGCACAAUCCCAAUGGUACUCUCUUAGAAAGUCAGUAAAAUAUCUUAAAUCACAAAUAAGUGAAUAUUUCUUCACUUGUUACAGUGCUGUAUGUCUCACUUGAGUUAUUCCUUGUUUGAUAUAUAAUGUAUGUGAUGUAGGAUGUCCUCCAUGCUUUCACAGCACCAAACUACCUGCAUUCUGCUGUUUAAGAUCGAG